rnacentral:tRNA from 1 species
GUCAGUUUGGCCGAGAGGUUAAGGCGAUAGACUCGAAUCUUUCGAUUGAGAAAUCUAUUGGGCUCUGCCCGCGUCGGUUCAAAUCCGGCAGCUGACG